GGUGCCCUCGUACCUCUUACCAGCUCCAUUGCGUCGUCUCAACACCGAUCUCCUUACGUUGUUCUCGUUCGUUGACCGACGGAUCGGGCUUACGUCAUUUGGUUGGCUUACGAGCUGCCACUUUGGGGGUUUGUUGGGGCAAUGCCUGGACCAUUUGCCGCAUUCCGAGUCGUGCCUAAUAACCAGCCAAGUCGUCUGCGCGCAUCGUUGCGAAUAAAAAGAAAAAUUACACAGAAAAUCGCGUCUCGUCUCAAAUCGAUUUCAUGUAUCUCUAAACCAGAGAGAGAAGAAACCCAUUUAGAGUACUCCUACUUGUGAUUUAAGUGUGUGUUUAUCAAGUGAAGUGAGUCUCUGAAGCUCCACAAAUAUAAUCAAUUACAGUGCAGUGAGUAAAAGAAACAUAAAAUAAAACUAGAGAAUCAUAAAGAAAACCAGAAAGUCUCCAUCUCAAACCGGGCAACAAAUUUUGUUUUGCGGAGAAAUGAGUAACAACAAAUUAUUG